rnacentral:lncRNA from 1 species
UUACACCCUUAUAGUAUGUUGAUAUGAAUAGAUCUGCUCGUCGUUUUAACCUGGUUGGAUAUUGAAACCGGAGGGACUUCCACUUGACAUUUAGGGCAACAUAACUUUUGCCAAAAACUGGAUGAUUGAUCUUGCAAGUCUGACGGCUUUUCAAGGAUUAAUGUACGUAUGUAACUGGAGACAGAUGGACAGUCAAAAGUAUCGGAGCAACCAGGACAUGACAAACGUAACGCCUCACAACCACGGUACCUAAAAUCCAUAUUAAAAGCACAAUUACAGUUAUGCAUCAGUUAAAACUGUAAGAAAGCACCAACAAGAGCAGAAGUGAAAAAGAGUAAAUUAGUGAUUACCUCUCUUCAUCAUCUGUGACAGAGAUAACUGAGCUGGAAU